rnacentral:rRNA from 1 species
CCUACGGGAGGCAGCAGUGAGGAAUAUUGGUCAAUGGACGAGAGUCUGAACCAGCCAAGUAGCGUGAAGGAUGACUGCCCUAUGGGUUGUAAACUUCUUUUAUAAAGGAAUAAAACGAGGCACGUGUGCCUUUUUGCAUGUACUUUAUGAAUAAGGAUCGGCUAACUCCGUGCCAGCAGCCGCGGUAAUACGGAGGAUCCGAGCGUUAUCCGGAUUUAUUGGGUUUAAAGGGAGCGUAGAUGGGUUGUUAAGUCAGUUGUGAAAGUUUGCGGCUCAACCGUAAAAUUGCAAUUGAUACUGGCAGUCUUGAGUACGGUUGAGGUACGCGGAAUUCGUGGUGUAGCGGUGAAAUGCAUAGAUAUCACGCAGAACCCCGAUUGCGAAGGCAGCUUACCAACCUGUGACUGACACUGAUGCUCGAAAGUGUGGGUAUCAAACAGGAUUAGAUACCCGAGUAGUC